rnacentral:ncRNA from 1 species
UUCAUUGUCGGCGCCGAUUUGCCUGAUCCGCUUGCGGGCGCCCCUUAUAAAUCCCGCUAAAGAGGUCUGGAUGACCAGCUC